rnacentral:rRNA from 1 species
AGAGUUUGAUCCUGGCUCAGGAUGAACGCUGGCGGCGUGCCUUAUGCAUGCAAGUCGAACGGUACUUUGGCUUUCGGGCUAAAGGAGAGUGGCGGACGGGUGAGUAACACGUAAGUAACCUACCCUUAAGUGGAGAAUAACCCCGGGAAACCGGGGCUAAUACUGCAUGUGGUGGCAGGAUAUAUGUCCUGUCUCUAAAGCCUUCGGGCGCUUAAGGAGGGGCUUGCGUCCAAUUAGCUAGUUGGUAGGGUAACGGCUUACCAAGGCAGUGAUCGGUAGCUGGUUUGAGAGGACGGUCAGCCACACUGGGACUGAGAUACGGCCCAGACUCCUACGGGAGGCAGCAGCAAGGAAUUUUGUGCAAUGGGCGAAAGCCUGACACAGCGACGUCGCAUGGGGGAUGAAGGCCUUCGGGUCGUAAACCCCUUUUCUCAGGGAAGAAUAAUGACGGUACCUGAGGAAUAAGUCUCGGCUAACUACGUGCCAGCAGCCGCGGUAAUACGUAGGAGGCAAGCGUUAUCCGGAUUUAUUGGGCGUAAAGAGGGCGUAGGCGGCUUUUCAAGUCGGAUGUAAAAUCUCCCGGCUCAACUGGGAGGGAUCAUGCGAUACUGUUGAGCUAGAGGGCGGCAGAGGGAGGUGGAAUUCCCGGUGUAGUGGUGAUAUGCGUAGAUAUCGGGAGGAACACCAGUGGCGAAGGCGGCCUCCUGGGCUGUAUCUGACGCUGAGGCCCGAAAGCGUGGGGAGCGAACAGGAUUAGAUACCCUGGUAGUCCACGCUGUAAACUAUGGAUACUAGGUAUGGGGAGUAUCGACCCUCUCCGUGCCGAAGCUAACGCGUUAAGUAUCCCGCCUGGGGAGUACGGCCGCAAGGCUAAAACUCAAAGGAAUUGACGGGGGCCCGCGCAAGCAGCGGAGCGUGUGGUUUAAUUCGAUGCAACGCGAAAAACCUUACCAAGGCUUGACAUGCUGGAAGUAGGAACCUGAAAGGGGGACGACCUGUAAAGUCAGAAGUCAGCACAGGUGCUGCAUGGCUGUCGUCAGCUCGUGCCGUGAGGUGUUGGGUUAAGUCCCGCAACGAGCGCAACCCUCGUUGCUAGUUAUAUUCUCUAGCGAUACUGCCCCGCAAGACGGGGAGGAAGGUGGGGAUGACGUCAAGUCAGCAUGGCCCUUAUGCCUUGGGCUACACACACGCUACAAUGGGUGGUAUAAAAGGUAGCAAUGGAGCGAUCCGGAGCCAAUCCCCAAAACCAUCCUCAGUUCGGAUUGCAGGCUGAAAUUCGCCUGCAUGAAGUUGGAGUUGCUAGUGACCGCAGGUCAGCAUACUGCGGUGAAUACGUUCUCGGGCCUUGUACACACCGCCCGUCACGUCACGAAAGUCGGCAACACCUGAAGUCGGUGGGCUAACCCUGGUUUACCAGGGAGGCAGCCGCCUAGGGUGGGGCUGAUGAUUGGGACGAAGUCGUAACAAGGUA